UACUCUAUUGAAGAACAUGAAAUGAAAGAAGAAGACGAUGCUGACGAAGGGGAGAACCUUCCACCUGGUUCCUAUGAGAUCUUACAACUAGAAAAAGAAGAAAUCCUUGCACCGCAUGCUCAUUUCUGCACAAUAUGUGGGAAAGGGUUUAAGAGGGAUGCAAAUUUACGGAUGCAUAUGAGAGGUCAUGGGGAUGAGUACAAAACUCCUGCAGCACUUGCAAAACCCAACAAGGAAGCCAGCUCUGAGCCAGUGCUCAUUAAGAGGUAUUCCUGUCCAUUUGCCGGUUGCAGGCGGAACAAGGAUCACAAAAAGUUUCAAGCUUUGAAGACUAUUUUGUGUGUCAAAAAUCAUUAUAAGAGAACUCAUUGUGACAAGAGCUACACUUGCAGUAGAUGCAACACCAAGAAAUUCUCAGUCAUUGCAGACCUCAAAACUCAUGAGAAGCAUUGUGGCAAGGAUAGAUGGCUUUGUUCAUGUGGUACAACUUUUUCAAGGAAAGACAAGCUUUUUGGGCACAUUGCUCUCUUCCAAGGUCAUACUCCUGCUAUUCCGCGUGAUGAAACGAAAGGACUAUCUUCUGGGCCAUCUGAUAAAGGGGAAGAAAAUGAUGUAUCAAACAAGGUUGGAAGUACAAAUUAUAGUUUUGGCUCCAGUGAUGCUACUGGAAGUGGAGCUCAGAAUAUUAUGGAUGUGAAGGGGGGUGUUGAUGAUCCUGCUAGCUAUUUCUCGCCAUUGAACUUCGAUACUUGUAAUUUUGGUGG
rnacentral:misc_RNA from 1 species